rnacentral:tRNA from 1 species
GCCUGGGUGGCUCAGUUGGUUGAGCGUCCGACUUUGGCUCAGGUCAUGAUCUCGUGGUUCGUGAGUUCGAGCCCCGCAUCAGGCU